GUGCCAGCAGCGGCGGUAAUACGGAGGGUGCAAGCGUUAAUCGGAAUUACUGGGCGUAAAGCGCACGCAGGCGGUCUGUCAAGUCGGAUGUGAAAUCCCCGGGCUCAACCCGGGAACUGCAUUCGAAACUGGCAGGCUGGAGUCUCGUAGAGGGGUAGAAUUCCAGGUGUAGCGGUGAAAUGCGUAGAGAUCUGGAGGAAUACCGGUGGCGAAGGCGGCCCCCUGGACGAAGACUGACGCUCAGGUGCGAAAGCGUGGGGAGCAAACAGGAUUAGAUACCCUGGUAGUCCACGCCGUAAACGAUGUCUAUUUGGAGUUGUGCCCUUGAGCGUGGCUUCCGGAGCUAACGCGUUAAAUGACCGCCUGGGGAGUACGGCGCAAGGUUAAAACUCAAAAUG
rnacentral:rRNA from 1 species